AUCCCUGUAACGCAAUGGAUAGCAUGUUGUACUUCUAAUCCGAUGAUCGUGGGUUCGAAUCCCACCUGGGAUG